CUGGUCCUGAAGACGAGCACUUGACCGCUCCUCCCUCUGGGUUGGAGGCAGGAUAGUGGGUUUUACUGCAACUGGUUCGUUUUCCUCCGGUUUUCAUCCAUUCUGGCACAAUCCGGCGUCAUCGUCCUUCUUAUGAGGCCAAGCCUGAAAAUGCGAAGCAGAGAGGCAGGACAAAAAUUGAGGCGAAUCGGGAAACCUGCCAAUGAGUCUGCGGGUGCGGUCUCUGGCACUGGAGGAUAUCGGGAGGAAGAGGCAUGGAAGAGGGAUAAAACGCGGUGCACUAGCUUUCCGAUGCGGAGAUAACGGGGAAGCUCUCGGCCAACCAUUCCGAGAGCAGGAGUCAAAUAGGAUACGCCGACUUUUAACUCAAAGAACCCUUUUCUGAAACACUUUGCCACAAUGAAGGAAAUAAGGAAUUGUACCCUCAGAGGUGACGGGAAAAGAUACACAGGUCUUGGAAGAUAAUUAUUCAAAAUAUGCAGGGAAGGAGUAAAGUUGAAGGGCGUUUUUCUUAGAGAACAUCAUUUGUCAUAUUUAUUUGAUUAAGAAGUUGAAGAUUUAUAUAAUAAGGAUCUAGUUUGAAGCACUAAGAAGAAUAAGACAUCAGUUUGAAAAGAGGCUCUGUCAGAGCAACACGAAUUCUGCUAAAAUUGAAGCAAGAACAAACAUCAAAUUUAUGUUGAUGCUUGGGUGGGGGAAUUGUGAACUAAUUGAUACUUUAUGAAAAGUUUAUUGGGACAAUGCCCCAAAGAAAUCAGUUUACAAAUGGAUAACUCAUUUUAAGAAUGGAUAAGGUAAUCUUGAAGAAGCCCACAGUGGCAGAUCAUCCACAUCAGUUUGUGAGAAAAAAAAAUUAAUCUAGUUCAUGGCCUAACUGCAGAAAACCAACAGUUUAUAGCAGAAACGACAGUCAACACCAUAGACAUCUCAGUUGGUUCACUUUACACAAUUCUGACUAGAAAAAUUUAGCAAACUUUACACCCGAUAGGUACCAAAACCAUUGCACCCAGAUCAGCUACAGACAGGAGCAGAGCUUUCAAUGGGAAUUUUAAAUAAGUGGGGUCAUGAUCUUGAAGCAUUUCAUUGAAAAAUUGUAACAGGAGAUGAAACAUGGCUUUAACAGUGCAAUCCUGAAGACAAAGCACAAUUAAAGCAAUGGUUACCAAGCUAUGGAAGUAGUUCAGUCAAAGCACAAGUGGACUGGUUGAGAGCAAAGGUCAUGACAACAGCUUUUGGAUGCUCAAGGUAUUUUGCUUAUUGACUUUCUGUAGGGCCAAAGAAUGGUCACAUCUGCUUAUUAGGAGUGUUUUUGAGACACUUAGCCAAAGCUUUAGCAGAAAAAUGUCCGAGAAAGCUUCACCAGAGAGUUGUUCUCCACAAUGCUUCUACUCAUCUCUCUCAUCAAGGGCAAUUCUGCGAGAGUUUUGAUGGCAGAUCACUAGGUAUCCACCCUAUAGUCCUGAUUUGGCACCUUCUGAUGUUUUGUUUCCUAAUCUUAAAAAAUUUUUUUAAAGCUGUACAUUUUUUUUCAGUUAAUAAUGUAAAAAAAAGAAAAAAAAACUGCAUUGAUGUGGUUAAAUUCCUAGAACUCUCAGUUAUUUAUGGAUGGACUGAAUAGCUGGUAUCAUCACUUACAAGUGACUUGAACUCCAUAGAACUAAUGUUCAGAAAUAUAGUUUAUAUUUUUGUCUUUUAAUUCCAUUUUCCAGAAACUUUUUGAAGUCUCCUCGAAUAUACACCCUUUGUAGAGGGGAAAAAUUCUUGUGACUGUUUAUACUGACUUAAUGCUGACUUAAUUUUCUAUUUUGUAAAUAUGUACAAACAUAAAAGUUGAUACAAAUUUGGUUUAUAGCCCUUAAACAAAUUUGUGAAAUAAAUGCAUUCAGAAACAAA